rnacentral:rRNA from 1 species
AUUGAACGCUGGCGGCAUGCCUUACACAUGCAAGUCGAACGGUAACAGGUCUUCGGAUGCUGACGAGUGGCGAACGGGUGAGUAAUACAUCGGAACGUGCCUAGUAGUGGGGGAUAACUACUCGAAAGAGUGGCUAAUACCGCAUGAGAUCUACGGAUGAAAGCAGGGGAUCGCAAGACCUUGCGCUACUAGAGCGGCCGAUGGCAGAUUAGGUAGUUGGUGGGAUAAAAGCUUACCAAGCCGACGAUCUGUAGCUGGUCUGAGAGGACGAUCAGCCACACUGGGACUGAGACACGGCCCAGACUCCUACGGGAGGCAGCAGUGGGGGAUUUUGGACAAUGGGCGCAAGCCUGAUCCAGCAAUGCCGCGUGCAGGAUGAAGGCCUUCGGGUUGUAAACUGCUUUUGUACGGAACGAAAAGCCCUGGGUUAAUACCCUGGGGUCAUGACGGUACCGUAAGAAUAAGCACCGGCUAACUACGUGCCAGCAGCCGCCGCCGUAA